AUUGAACGCUGGCGGCAUGCCUUACACAUGCAAGUCGAACGGCAGCACGGGAGCUUGCUCCUGGUGGCGAGUGGCGAACGGGUGAGUAAUGCAUCGGAACGUGCCCUGAAGUGGGGGAUAACGUAGCGAAAGUUACGCUAAUACCGCAUAUUCUGUGAGCAGGAAAGCAGGGGAUCUUCGGACCUUGCGCUUUUGGAGCGGCCGAUGUCGGAUUAGCUAGUUGGUGGGUAAAGGCCCGACCAAGGCGACGAUCCGUAGCGGGUCUGAGAGGAUGAUCCGCCACACUGGAACUGAGACACGGUCCAGACUCCUACGGAGGCAGCAGUGGGGAAUUUUGGGACAAUGGGCGCAAGCCUGAUCCAGCCAUGCCGCGUGAGUGAAG
rnacentral:rRNA from 1 species